UCGUUCCCUUCCCCCAUACCCACCUUAUUCUUCACCCCCGAUUACCUCAUCGGAGAGCAAUACCCACAAUCACCUACCGAUCAUCUCCUGACCACCGGAACCACUUCCACCGCGACAACCAGCGAUUACCCACAAUCACCUACCGAUCACUGUCGACCACUGUCGACGACCUCUGUCCACACCACCGUUGAUCGCCAUAUCCACCGUAGGGCUCCGAUUGACUUCCGUCAACAGCUGAUUAACAAACAGAGUUUUAUAAUUUAUCUAGUUUUCGGCUCAAGUGAAUUCAGGUAUGAAAGUUAUUGUGGGUUGAAGCUAGAUGUGAAAGGGUUGAUUUUGAGUGGGACGAGAUGGGUCAGGGAAUUCAAUUGAGAUUGAGUUUGGUUCAGAUAUGGGAGUCUCUUUUGGGUUUGAUGUGAGUUUGUUAAAUGGGUAUUGAAUGUAAUUGGUAGAAGGUUUCUAUUCUGAGUCGAGAGACACUUCAAACGAGUAUUCAGAAUGCCGUAGAGUUUUAGUCGAGAUAUGUCAGUAGGUGUUGGUAAUUUUAGUGUUAUCAACGGAUUUUAGGAUAUUGGAUUA
rnacentral:lncRNA from 1 species